UACGUAGGGUGCGAGCGUUAAUCGGAAUUACUGGGCGUAAAGCGUGCGCAGGCGGUUCGUUAAGUCAGAUGUGAAAGCCCUGGGCUCAACCCAGGAAGUGCACUCGAUACUGUGUGGCUUGAGUACUGGAGAGGUUGGUGGAAUUCUCGGUGUAGAGGUGAAAUUCGUAGAUAUCGAGAGGAACACCGGUGGCGAAGGCGGCCAACUGGACAGAUACUGACGCUGAGACACGAAAGCGUGGGGAGCAAACAGG
rnacentral:rRNA from 1 species